UGCUGCACUGUAGCUUAUGAAAAGUAAUGGCUUAGUAACAAUGAUGGCUCGAGCCGAGCCGUUAUUUGAAAAGACUAUUUUGCCCCUGCCUCCUGUCUGUUGCUCCGACAUCUAGCUACCAGCUCAAAACAACGACUACCGUGUCUUUGCUUCUUCACUCCACAACAGAGCGGUAGAAAGAGAGAGCAAAGGGAAUACCGAAGAAAGUGGUGCUUGAGGGUUUGAUUAGAUAUGCCGCAUACGCGGCAAGGAUUGAUUUCCAUCUCAAAUCAAUAUUCCAUCUCUAACCUGCAUUUGAUCAGUCAGCACGAGGUUAGCCACUUCUCACUCUGAAAUCUGCUCGACUCUUUCCCGACUUACCAUGUCCGAAGCAGAUAACCUGAGCAAAUAUCAUUAUCCUAACCCAAACAAAAUUGUAACAACCCAAACGCUCAAAACACCCAAUUCCUCAACUUCAUUUCUUCUGCCGAGUAUGAGAAAGAUGAGAGGUUUCAAGCUCGGAAAACGACUCUGCCGGGUCACCCGAUGGUUCUUCCUCAGAAAAUCCACCACUCAAAAACGGAUACCAUCGGCUUUGCCCGCCUUCAUCUCCGCCAUGCACGUACAAGUCGCUUCGCGCGAAGCUACUCACUUGAGGUUAUCUGUUGUUUCUCAGGGAAUUGUAGGUUAUCUGUGGUUGCAGCUCAAUCAGCUACAACUGUAGUACAGGCUGGCACAAAAGACUUACCUCUAUUGUACUUCACUGUCAAAUGCCUUGAUGUUUUGUUGUGUUUCUAUAUCCAUCUUAGAAUGCAUACAAAUUCAUUAGAAAAAGCUUAACAACUCCUGAACCCAUAACCUGUACGUGCAAAAAGAAAAAGAAGUGGUUGUAAAUAGUAUUAGAUUCAAAUCCUCACAUCAAAACUACUUACAGAAUUGGUUAACUCAAUCAAGUGUAGGUCCUUUCAAAAUAAAAGAUAGAAUCUGGUAUGUAGUACGUCAAAUUUUAUUGAACAUGAUUUUAUUGAAGCUUCAAUUUAUAUGCACAACAACUUUGUCUUUGGAAAGGAAAACUGAGAGCUAAUAGCUUUAUAUGAGUAUUUUUAUUUUUAUUUUUUUGCCAGCUUUAUGGUUCGUUAAGCAUUUCUUAACAAGUAUAGGGUAGAGAGACUUAAGAAAAUUCUAGAGAAUUUGUGGUGAAAUAAAAGAGAGAAUGAAAGAACUUAUGCCAUUUUUUGACAUGAGGAGUGAAUUAUUGUGUACUGGUCUAUACAUGCAUACAAAGCAUUCCACCACUUCAUUCAAAGUAAACCAAGAUUUUGAACCAGCUCCGUUUUCCCACCAAUGCCAAACAAACAUCUGAAAUGGUAACUUUCUCAUUUACCCUGCAUAUUCAAAAAAUUUAUGCCUAAUAAAUCAGCCUCAGAACUUUCUACAGGAUCCUCUUUAGUUUUGACAUUAGCAGCAUAUCUUGGAAUACUCUUUGUCUUUCAGCGGCCAGCGGCUCAUUUUGAGUUAGAAGAAAAACGUCAGAGGUACUAGGAAUUGGUUAUAGGGUCGCCCAAAAAAAAGGAAGGCUUAAUUUUGUGCUCCUCUUAUGAAGCCUUGCAGGUGCUUUUUGCCGAGAGGGUCAUCUUGGCUCAUCAAUCAGGAUUAGAAGCUUCCCAACCUGCUCUAACUCAAUAUCGGGUGCUUGGUCCUACGAUGAAUGAAUGCUCAUGGAUUGAAUUACAACCACUCACUAGCCAAAAGCAUCAGCUUUGAUGGAAAGAAGUUGUUUGCUUAGGUGUUGAAUAUCAAUUGGUUUCAGGAGGCAACCAAGUGGGAACGACUAGGGAAAUAUAUAAUACAUUAUGGAAAAUUCGUUUCAAGGUGCUAAUGCUGGUGGUAUUAAUCAAAUAGGCUGAAGAACUAGCUGCGGCUCAGUCAUCCUGUACAAAAUGAUAUCAAUGCGGUAUGCCUAUCAAUUUCUUGAGAUGCUGAUAAGCUUUUGGAAUCAGAAAGGAAGUUUCAUUGAUAUUGAAAGUGUUAAUUUUCGGAUGGCUGAGGAAAGCUUCAUGGAUCGCCUAGGCACCUAUAUGCAUGAAUCAUGCCCCAAGAUUGACAAAGAUUGCUGGCAAGCAAACUGUAAUGAACCAUUUCCAGAUUCUUUGGUGUUUGUAGUCCAUGGAUCAGAUGAGUCCACUCCGGUUGAAGAUGCAUUUGAGUUUGGCAAGAUCAUACCGGACCACUAAAUACAUAUUAUACAAAGAGUUAAUCAUUGUUACACGUCGCAUCAAGCCAAGUUGGACGCAGUUGAUGGUGGACUUCAUAAAGGGAGCUCUGCAGCAAAACAAGGCUUUUUCCAACUAGCUAGAAGAGCACAGGAGAGUGUCUUCCAAAAUCACAUCAAGCAUGCCAAGCAAGAUUGAAAAUUGAAGGACCAUCUUUAGAACACUGUCAGUAGAAGAUCAAUGAAGCUGUGCAUAUAUUUUUGCUUCCUACAUGACAACAUUUUUUUGAUAAGACACUGAUUUAUAUGAAGCCGUGAAGACCUUUUUUGCUCCCUACAUAGCGAUCUUUUGUGAUGAAGUGAAAUCCACCAUUAUUUCGAUAAUAUAAUCUUUUGUAGAAAGACUGCAUGCAAACUGCACAUCCUUGAGCUAGAUUCAUACAAUGUAAACUAAGUUCUAAAACGAUUUGUUUAACGCAUAUUUUUCGUUUCAUGUAAACACAUCUUAGUUAUCUUUGUCAACCAAAUACUUAAAAUCGAACAUAAAGAGAUUAAAGUAGAAAAUCUGCCCCGCGGCAACGCGCGGGUUCUCAUGCUAGUAUAAUCACAAUAUCAAUGUAUAUAUUCUCAUGCGCUUCA